GGUUAACUAGAGUGAAAGACAAUGAAGAUUUUUGGGAAACAUAUAUAUCCAAGACAAAUUAUACUAUUUGCAGCAGGGAUGCUGGUGUUUGGAGCAACAAGUUAUGAUGUACAUAGAUCAAUAAAAAACAAUGAACAGCCACCUUCUAAACAACAGAUUCAAGCCAUGGAAGACUACCUUUCCUCCAAACGUCAUCCACCUGCAGCUUGAUCAUCAUAUCUUAUUCUUUUUUUUUCUUUUUUUUUUUUUUUCUUUUAAUAUUUGCCGCUCUUAUUUUGCCACGUUGAUGCAUGUAUGACCCUACACAUAAUAUAUAAUAUAUUUACUCGUA